UAGGGAAUCUUCCGCAAUGGGCGAAAGCCUGACGGAGCAACGCCGCGUGAGUGAUGAAGGUCUUCGGAUCGUAAAACUCUGUUAUUAGGGAAGAACAAAUGUGUAAGUAACUAUGCACGUCUUGACGGUACCUAAUCAGAAAGCCACGGCUAACUACGUGCCAGCAGCCGCGGUAAUACGUAGGUGGCAAGCGUUAUCCGGAAUUAUUGGGCGUAAAGCGCGCGUAGGCGGUUUUUUAAGUCUGAUGUGAAAGCCCACGGCUCAACCGUGGAGGGUCAUUGGAAACUGGAAAACUUGAGUGCAGAAGAGGAAAGUGGAAUUCCAUGUGUAGCGGUGAAAUGCGCAGAGUUAUGGAGGAACACCAGUGGCGAAGGCGACUUUCUGGUCUGUAACUGACGCUGAUGUGCGAAAGCGUGGGGAUCAAACAGG
rnacentral:rRNA from 2 species